GGAACUGCCUACGCAAGUAGUGAGGAGGCGGGGAUGACGUCAAAUCAGCACGGCCCUUACGUCCAGGGCUACACACGUGCUACAAUGGCCGAUACAGAGGGCAGCUACCUGGUGACAGGAUGCAAAUCUCCAAAGUCGGUCUCAGUUCGGAUCGGAGUCUGCAACCCGACUCCGUGAAGUUGGAUUCGCUAGUAAUCGCGCAUCAGCCAUGGCGCGGUGAAUACGUUCCCGGGCCUU
rnacentral:rRNA from 1 species